AUGAAUGCUCUGCUGCAAACUCACAGGAUUUUUUUUUUUUACUCCUCUCUUACAGAGAAUGUGCACAGGGGAGUGGUCUGUAGUUUGGAAGUGGCCAUUCCAGCAGGAAAAUAUCCCCUUCUGCAGUUCAGCAACAUAUCUCAGGGAAUCCUUUUAGCAGCUGUAAAGAGCAGAAACAUGUCAGUGAAAUGCGUGUAGCAGUUCAAGCAGGAGUCAAGAUUUGUGAGGAGCUGCGUUCCAGGGAGGGUUUCACACUGCAGAUUUAAUCCUGCUCCCGUAUAAGUUCUUUUCCAGGUGGGUGUACUUUCCAUGCUGUAAUGCUGUGUCAUUCUGCCAGGAAGCUGAAAAGAACCUAGGGUCUGGGAAGGCAAUGGAGCCCUGGAGGAUUAGGACCAAGAUCUUGACCAUGAUUGAAAAUCUACAGGAAGCCAGUGGGAAGAACAUAGUGCAUCUUUCAAAUUAUAUUAACAUUCAAUUUCUGCCUUCCUGUUCUUUCAGGUGAGAGUGUCAUUCUUCAUACGGAUUUGCUUCAGUAGCAGGAUUUCAUCUAAAUCUGUAUUAGGCCACACGUGGAGUCUCACCUUCUAUCAAACCUUUACUUAGCUUCUCCACAUACUUAGAAAGUAUGACAUUGGUCAGUAGUUGUCUAGAGCCAAAGCAGGUGAGUUAGGUUUGUUCCAUGCUGGCUGGUUGAUGCAAGAAGUUAUUCUGUAUCAUUUCUGAUCACAGGUCAUAGCAUUACUCUGCUUUCUUGGGAUACAGAUGCUGUGAUGGGGAGCCCUUUCACUAAUAUUUGCACUAACACAGCAGAAAACACAGCAUUAUCUAUUGUUUAGAAUAGUAUUUCUUGAACUUCAGUGAGCAUGACCCAUUUGUGGGCUCUUGUCUCUUCUCAUAACUCUCCUCUCCUCUCCUCCUUUCCAGCUCUGAAACCUCCUGCAGGUGUGUACUUCCUUUUAUUCCUGGCAGCAACUCAGUUCAUCUAGGGCAGAGGGAUGAGAAUGAACUAAAAUUACUGAGUCCAGUUGUAGAAGAACUGAGCUGUGCCAAGCAAGUCAAAGCUAGUGGGACUUCGUGAACCAUUUGUGAAGUCUUCUGUGACCUCUAAAGUAUUGCAAGCUGCAGCUGGAGAAACACUGUCUAGUAACUAGGCCCUGGUCAUACUAUCGUUUACUCCAGAAACUCAGUUAAGUUGUAC
rnacentral:lncRNA from 1 species